GUCCUGGUGGAUUUAUGAAUUUUGUCACUUUUGGGGACUCCAGUGUAAGUAUUUGUAACUGUCGCUUGAAUAGUUAUGCUCCAUUAAGUAUUCUUCAUUCAAUUUGACCCAUUUUCAAAAUGCAUUUGGUAAUUUGUAGUUUUAUUUCAUCUUAGUGAAGAGGGCUUCCCUUGGGAAUCGGGAAGCUGGUGAUUCAGGGAGGUUUGUAGCUCUGAGGGUGGUAGAGCACUCACAAAGCCUUGGGAUAGGAAAGCUGCAAAGGCCAUGGAGACCAUCUGGUCCAAGGUUGUUAUUGUGUAGAUUGGAAAGGUAAGUCCAGAGAGGGGUAUGAGUCUCCCAGACGUGCGCGCACGCGCACAUACACACACACAGGCACACGCUGCACACUACACACCCCAUACAUUUUGCAUCCCCCUCCCCUUGGCCUCCCGCACAUUUUGAGAAACAUGUCAGAUUCUAUUAAGAGUAACCAAGCGCAGUGUUCAAACACAUUUCAGCCUAUUUAUCCAGGGACACCACAGCUUUGGAGGCAGCAAACAUGCCCAUUUGUUACUAUUUGCAAAGAUGGUGUACACCAAACAUGGGCUUUCUGUAAACAAAUUAAAAAGUAAUAAAGUGGCCCCAUCUGCAUACUAGAGCACCACGCUUCCAUUUUAAUGAAGCUUGCUAUUGCAAAGCCAUUUUGAUGGCUUGUCAAACGUGCUGAAGUCCAUGGCUGCACAUGGAAAUGUGCUGUCUUUCCUUCCUGUGGUCCUUUCUUCAGCGUGUACGGGGCAGCUGUAGGAGCUGGGCCCGACCCCUGGACUGUCUGCUAUGCUAUGGAGACCUGACGUGUGCAUAUGAUGCCAUUAAAUAUCCGAGUCGGAUGUCUCAGAAUGGUCCACACGAAUCAUCUGAACGGACUGGAGCGGGAAGUGAAGAAAGUAAAGCGCGGGGGNAAGGCAUGAGCCAGGCCAGGUAGCUUAAGCUCAGAGUUCCAGUCCCUUCCGUAAAGACCCCCGCUCUUCUGCCCUCUGGGGAUCCCCUCUGCAUUGCCCCUCCCCCCUCCACUGUGAGGCCCUUCUCCAACUAGGGGACCUGUUGCAUAUCAAAUGCCUCCCCUGCGCCCCAGGGAGGCCUGAGGCACAUCU
rnacentral:lncRNA from 1 species